GAUGACUGACAGCUUCUAAGUCUCACCACCCUCUCCGCUUUGUGUCCCACAACAGGGCAAGUUGGUAAGAAAACUUCCGUGUUCCCUUCUUUGAUGCCAGCAGAAAAUUCAAGCAACACAAGCCACUUCGCAUGCGAGGGAAGCCCACGGCCUCAGGCAGUGAACACAGUGGCCUCAGGCCUGGACGACUGUAAAAGCCCCAAGCCAGGGUCUUUCCCUGUUCGUUCAAACCAUUUUUGGACAAGCUUGGGAGACUUCUCCUGCCCUCCCCUGGAAACCUCGCUUCAUGUGUGUGCAGAAUGAGCAGCCACGUCAUGCCUGCUUGAACGUGGACAGCACACUUUCAGGACUCAAUUUCCUCAACCCCUUGAAGCAGAUACACAGUUAACAAAGAUUAAGGUAAUCAUUUCAUCAUAUUUUUUAAUGCACUGUCACUCUGAAUAGGGGAAUGUUCAGAUAAAACAUAGUUUCAUUCACUCGUCUCUUUCCUACAAGGAACAUGUUGGAGUUAAGAAGAUGUACCUAGAUAUUACACUUCAAACUGAAAAUAUUUUCAGAAUUCUAGAAUUUCCCUGUCUCUCAUCAUAAAUGGAAAUUUGAAAAGCUGUUAGCUUUAGUCUGUGAAAAGUUUGAGGAAAUAAAGU
rnacentral:lncRNA from 1 species